CUGGCUAGACCCGCGCGCAGGCGGAAAGCCCUACGCUCCGCAGCAGUGACAACAGCGGUAGACUGGGUCUCUUUUUUCCCCCUUUCAUUUCUCUUCUUUCUUUCUUUCUUCUUUCUUUUUUUUUCUUUUUGAGUCGGGGUCUCAUUCGGGCAGGCUGGCCUCUAACGUCCUGCGUUUUAGGUUCCCAGGCGCCACUACGUUGGGCUUGCCAGGCAGUUUCAUGACCGUCUUUUUUGAGGUGCGUUCCCAAGCCAAGCGGAAACUCGAGAAGAUUGGCCCAUUGUUAAGAUCUUUCUGCCCUCAGAAGAAAGAGGGCUCAAGGAGUUCCUGUGGGACUUGAUUCCUGUCCCAAGACCUGAGACUUUUUCCUGAGUCCGGAAGAUAGCAGGGAGUGGUUUCCAGACAUUAUUCUAGAAGGGAACAAUUGGAAGAAACUUUCUGUCACAGCGUAAGAAAAAGGCCUAUUGACAGGUAGCUGUGUGUCGGAUCUCCUACCCUGCCCUGCUGUGGAAUCAAUCAGAUGAGUGAAGACCCUGCUGGGAGUUGUGAAUUAAUUUCUUUGGAUGCUCAAGCCCUAAAUCAAGUCAUGAAAGGAACAGUCAUGUUGUCAAAUGUCAGGCUGCCUCAGGCUUGUGACCCUGCUGCCAUCACCUUUAAAGUGUUGGGAUGACAGAUCAGAAAGUUACCAGACAGGUGAGCAGGCAGAGGACAACAGAGGCCCCACCCUCCACCACACCUGGGCAGAG
ensembl:lncRNA